rnacentral:lncRNA from 10 species
GGGCUCUCAUGUGUGUUCAGGGCAGUGAGGCAGCUCUGCUUCAGGAUGUCCCUGGGGCAUCUGUGUGAGCGCCCCCCUCUCCCAUGCAGUUCUUUAUCCUCCAGCCAUCCAGCCCAGGGUUCACCUCAGCACAGGGCAUGACCCCAAGGCAGUGAGUGGACAUGUGCAAAGCCUUUUCAGGUCUAGGCUCAGAGCUGCCAACCAUUGCUUCUGGGAAAUUCUAUCACCUAAUGCAAGUUACAGGACAGGUCAGACUCAAGGGGUGGGGAAAAAGACACCACCUCUUGUUGGAAGGAGCUGGAAAUUCAUAUAACCAAGCAAGUGGAUACAGGGACAUGUGAUUGUUAGAGGGCAUGUUCCUAAUUAAUCUAUCAUUUAUACGAUAUGUGUGAAAUAACAUAUUAAUAGUUAUAUGUAUGAAUAUGAAUAUAUAUAAAUUGAUAUUAAUUCUUUAGAGACUUAAAUGUAUUCUUGAAAUAACAUCUCCCAAAUUUUACCUGUGUUGUCAUAUUCUCUGUGGUUAUGUUUUCACAAACAAAAGUUUCUAUCCUUCAUGUAGACUAAUUUUUCAUGCCUCUUUCUUGUGGUUGGUGAGUGUUGUGUCUUAUCCUAUAUUGGGAAUAUCACAAUAUAUUACUGUGUUAUCUUACAAAAUUGUUAAUAUUCUUUCCUUAUAAAUUUGGUUAAUUCUAAUGGGAUUGACUUUUUAAAUACUGUAUGAGAUAAGGAUCCAAAUAUGCAUAUCUAAUUUUUGAAUUUUUAGCAAAAUUUCCCACCAACAUUUAUUGAAAAGUUCAUAUUUGCUCACAUAACUUGAUUUUUUUACCUGUAACAUAUAUGAAAUGUCCAUGAGCAAUUAUCUGGCCUCUCUUCCAUCUUCAGUUAACUUAUUUACUUUUCUGUACUAUGAUGUUAAAAAGUAAGUUUCACUUCCAGUAUGGUACAAAUAUUUUUCUAACUUCUUCAUUUAUUUAAUAAUAUCUUAGCUAUUCUUGACUAAUGUGUUAUUUAAAACUUUGAAUCAUCUUAUUAACUUCCACAAGCAAAUAAAUGUUUAGUCUCUUGUUGACAUUGUAAUAAGCCUCCAGAUCAAUGUGGAGAGAACUAAAUGUUUGACAAUAUUGAGAUUUCCAAUGCAUGAUCAUAAUAUGAAUUUCCCACUUAUUAAUAGCCUUUUAAUAAAUAUAUAAUUAAUUUC